AUUGAACGCUGGCGGCAGGCCUAACACAUGCAAGUCGAGCGGAUGAGUGGAGCUUGCUCCAUGAUUCAGCGGCGGACGGGUGAGUAAUGCCUAGGAAUCUGCCUGGUAGUGGGGGACAACGUUUCGAAAGGAACGCUAAUACCGCAUACGUCCUACGGGAGAAAGCAGGGGACCUUCGGGCCUUGCGCUAUCAGAUGAGCCUAGGUCGGAUUAGCUAGUAGGUGAGGGAAAGGCUCACCUAGGCGACGAUCCGUAACUGGGCUGAGGGGAUGAUCAGGCACACUGGAACUGGGGCACGGUCCAGACUCCUACGGGAGGCAGCAGUGGGGAAUAUUGGACAAUGGGCGAAAGCCUGAUCCAGCCAUGCCGCGUGUGUGAAGAAGGUCUUCGGAUUGUAAAGCACUUUAAGUUGGGAGGAAGGGCAGUAAGUUAAUACCUUGCUGUUUUGACGUUACCAACAGAAUAAGCACCGGCUAACUUCGUGCCAGCCGCCGCAGUAAGAC
rnacentral:rRNA from 1 species